rnacentral:rRNA from 1 species
ACCAGACUCCUACGGGAGGCAGCAGUGGGGAAUAUUGCACAAUGGGGGAAACCCUGAUGCAGCGACGCCGCGUGAGUGAAGAAGUAUUUCGGUAUGUAAAGCUCUAUCAGCAGGGAAGAUAAUGACGGUACCUGACUAAGAAGCCCCGGCUAACUACGUGCCAGCAGCCGCGGUAAUACGUAGGGGGCAAGCGUUAUCCGGAUUUACUGGGUGUAAAGGGUGCGCAGGUGGCAGGGCAAGUCAGAUGUGAAAGCCCGGGGCUCAACCCCGGUAUUGCAUUUGAAACUGUCCGGCUAGAGUGCAGGAGAGGUAAGCGGAAUUCCUAGUGUAGCGGUGAAAUGCGUAGAUAUUAGGAGGAACACCAGUGGCGAAGGCGGCUUACUGGACUGUAACUGACACUGAGGCACGAAAGCGUGGGGAGCAAACAGGAUUAGAUACCCCUGUA